AUUGAACGCUGGCGGCAGGCCUAACACAUGCAAGUCGAGCGGAUGAAGGGAGCUUGCUCCUGGAUUCAGCGGCGGACGGGUGAGUAAUGCCUAGGAAUCUGCCUGGUAGUUGGGGAUAACGUCCGGAAACGGGCGCUAAUACCGCAUACGUCCUGAGGGAGAAAGUGGGGGAUCUUCGGACCUCACGCUAUCAGAUGAGCCUAGGUCGGAUUAGCUAGUUGGUGGGGUAAAGGCCUACCAAGGCGACGAUCCGUAACUGGUCUGAGAGGAUGAUCAGUCACACUGGAACUGAGACACGGUCCAGACUCCUACGGGAGGCAGCAGUGGGGAAUAUUGGACAAUGGGCGAAAGCCUGAUCCAGCCAUGCCGCGUGUGUGAAGAAGGUCUUCGGAUUGUAAAGCACUUUAAGUUGGGAGGAAGAGCAGUAAGUUAAUACCUUGCUGUUUUGACGUUACCAACAGAAUAAGCACCGGCUAACUUCGUG
rnacentral:rRNA from 1 species